ensembl:lncRNA
CACAUCUUCAGGUGGACCAGGAUGUCUCUGUUUUUAAAAAGUAGGUUGACCUACUUGCAAUUCCUUUUUUUGCUAAUCUACUUUCACCUAAUUUAAAGUUUGAUUUUGAAUCAAAGUAUACAUUUUUGUGUCAGGGUCAUUGCUGCAGGAUCCAGGGUACCAGGGUCAUUGCUGCAUAUUUUAAUACACGUUUAGACUGUCAUUUCACAGAAUAUCACAUAUCACCAGGAGUAAAAAAGACUGUUAUCAUGUAUGACAUAGUAAUUGGUUGGGGGAAAAACAUUAUUUUUUUUUAUUUUUUUAAAGUUGAUCAAGAUCUGUUAACCAGUAACUGAGAUAGUUUAAGGCCCAACAAUUAUUUGUUGAGUACAUCGUUUACAAAACGUGCAUUUCUAAAUAUUGCUAUUGUCCUAACAUCUGCUUCUCCUUUCUGAAGUCUUUCUUAACACUCAGGGCAUCACACCUCACAUCAGUUCCAUUUCACAGCAGUCUGCACCAAAUGUCCUGACAGCACUCAGUGGAUUUAAGGCUGUGGAUUUCUAACCACAGGGUAGCAUGCUUAUUACAGUACCCAAGCUGCUUACAGCCACAGCUGAUAGCAUUAAGCUGAUUACAUUCCUCAAGAAAGCCGGUGGUCUUGCAUCAAAAUUCCCAAUGGUCAGCUUAACAGCACAAGUAUGUAUGCCUCGGGUGUUUGAUUGUAGAAUGUUCUGACAUCCAUAUGUAGCCCUUGAAAUGCUCACUGUGCCAUUACAGAACCCUUACCUGAGUUCUGUAGUAUUUGUACCACUGUAAAGAUGCAGCCCGCAAUUCUGGCAACAGGUUGUUUUCCUGAAGCAACAUGUUGAUUGGUUGGAAUACUGUGUGGCUUGAUCCAAGCCACGAUUGUUUCCCAUUUACCGAGCCAGAAUUGUCUAAAAUGAUGCUGACCACACACACAGAACGGACAGCUGAGUGAUUAUUUGACAAAAAGUGUAUUGGAUUAAAUAGACUAGUGACUGCACAUUUAACUGGACUGCAUACUACAUUCACCCUAUUUACUAGUGUAAGUAAGUGGGCUGAAUGGGGACAGUAACAGUAUAAAGUAAAUAUAAACAUAAAUAAUAAAUAAACAUAAAUACAUUGGCAUCAGGCAGUGUAGAUAUGUGAUAUUAAUAUGUAAAGUUAACCUCACACCUUAACAAUGUUUACCUUGCACUAAAAGGUGAGGCUGUGUAUGAUUUAAACGAAAGGCUGCAGAACAGAGGUAUCCAUCUCGUCUGAAAACACCCUGGGGUUCGUACACAGCCCUGCCUCUGUAAAUGGAAAACAAACAUAGUGGCUCGGACCAAGCCAUAAACAAUCCCAGCCAAUCAAGAUGGCGCCUCUGGAGUAUGGAAGGGAGCGGUGUAAUUUGAUUCGCUGUUGAGCUCAAAUAUCAACAACCUUUCGUGGAACUGAAACCUAAUCAGACUGCAUCUUUAACAUGGGGUUGGGCAGGACUUGCAUUUAUCAAUGGAAAUUCUCAGACCAUUUUCUCCAUCAGUCUUUGAAAUGAGGCUCCAGUAGCCCUUUGUGGCAUACACUCAAACAGGGUAAAACCCCAUUCAGAAUAUGAAUACAGUUUUCUCUUUGUCUCUUUGAAUGCAGGGUUCCCACCCUGGGUUUCAAGUGGCCUUAAUGAAGUUUCCAUGACCUUUCAUAACCUACAGGUACACAAAAUUGCAUACUUUACACUCCACAGGUUAACCCUAAUUAUUAAAGGAAAAUUAAACAAGCCCUUUUCUAAUAAGCUAGGCCACCUCAAGUGGAAACCAUCACGCUGCAGAAAUUCACACAAAGAAACAUUAUCCACGUAAGAGUGCAAGAACAUAAUUCAUUUCAAUAUACUUACUUGUGUGUCAAAAUCUAAUUUCAUGACUUUCAGUGAAUUUACUGAAUUCCAUGUCUUUACCAGGCCUAGAAAAUAGGAUUUUCCAGGAUUUCCAUGACCAUGGGAAGCCUGAGAAUGUGAUGUCAAGAAUGGAUGGAACUUCUCGCAAUGCUCAGGUGAAGUGAUUCAGACAGUUCACAUUUUGUCAUUGAGUCCAACUACAGACCUUCUCAAGCAGUGAAGAUGAAACACCGAACACUUGAUGAUACAACUGAAGAAGAAACAACUGGUACCAGAAAGGCUGCAUACUAUGGUGUUAUUGUGUCUCAUUCCUGAGGGUGUGGUGGGCAUUUGAGCACAGAAAAGUAUAAAAGCAGAUAAAACCAGCUCACAGGUCCAAAAUAGAAGGCUCUGUUCCCAGUUAAUUUCACAGGUCAACUGUUCAUACAAUUAGGCGCUGCCUUUGAGAUUGGACAGUAGAUUGAGAGAUGAGAGCGAGAGACAGGAGUGGGAUCAGGAAACUACAGCAGGUUAGUAUGAAGCCUGGGUCCCCAAGAGCUGUAGAGCAGUCAUGGCCCCAGUCACAGGUUUCCUAACUUGUAUGUCAGUGCUCACAGGAUUUCACUUUUAUUGCAUCGAGUUACUACUAUGAGGCCUUUAUUUUCAAUAUAGUAUUUCUUAAGUAUGUUUGUUCAUAAGUGGAAACUACUUGUCAACUCAGAAACAAUUAGGCCGCUUUAGUGAGGUGAUUCAUGAUAUCAUUUAACACUGAAAGAGCAUAUUGCAGCAUUUCAAGGUAACCAUUUGGUAUUAAGUGUAUUUAUAUAAAAAUAUAUUAAAAAUACCCAUUCCUACCUCCCUCCAUUUUGAACACUACAGUAAUCUAUGUCAAGCUGGGUAGAGCAUCACAUUAUCCAAGCAAUUUGAAGUCGUUUUAGUGCAAUACUUGUUUGAAUCAUGAAUUUCUGAGCUAAAGAAAAAAACAAACACCCAUGGAUUUUGGAAUGAACAAACCAUUUUUAAUCAGAAGUAAACAAAAACAGCUUGGCAUAUUUCAUGAAUCACAAAAUUGUUUAUAGAAGUGCCAUUUUACCCAAGAAGCUUACCGACAGUCACUCAGAAGUUCUCCACGAUGGCAGGACACUCCAGACUCCUGGACACAUGGAGAUAUCGAAACACAUAAAAAAAGUAGUUUAAUGUCAUUAAAAUAUUUAAGCAGCAGUGAAUCGUAAGAAACAGAACUUCCAUACAAACAUUUCACAUCUACCUACAAUAGUAGGCUACAGGUACGAUCAAACUUGACAAAAUAAAGUGAUAGAAAAUCUUGUCUGCAGUAUCAUACAAGAGCAUCAAACAGCUUUAUACAUGCUCACACCUGCUACUGCCAGAGUCAGCGUCUUUGCUGCCCCUGUUAUCUAGGUCUGACUGGACAAGCUGCAGUUUACAACCAAACAAGUUUGGCAACACUGAAGCUUUUGUCCCAGACCAAAUAAGACAAGACUAAUAAGUUAGGACACUUACCAGCCAUUCCAAUUAGUCUUCAAACCAUCUACAGCCGUUUUCCCAUCAGCUGUGUGUUUCAUGAUCAGACCUUUAACAGAUAAGCAGCAGGGAAUCGUAAGUGACAGAACUUCCAUACAAACAUUUCAAAUCUCUCUACAAUAGUAAAACUACAGGUACGAUCAAAAGUGACAAAAUAAAGUGAUAUAAAAUAUUGUCUGCAGUAUCAUACAAGAGCAUCAAACAGCUUUAUACAUGCUCACACCUGCUACUGCCAGAAUCAGCGUCUUCGCUGCCCCUGUUAUCUAGGUCUGACUGGACAAACUGCAGUUUACAACCAAACAAGUUUGGCAACACUGAAGCUUUUGUCCCAGACCAAAUAAGACAAGACUAAUAAGUUAAGACACUUACCAGCUAUUCCAAUUAGUCUUCAAACCAUCUACAGCCGUUUUCCAUCAGCUGUGUGCUUCAUUAUCAGCCCUUUAACAGAUAAUGAGAAAUGGCUCACUACCACAGCAAAGACUUGUUCGUUUUCAAACCAGUUUUGCCCGAAGUGCCCAAUUAGUGCCGAGAGGGGUCCUCUAUUGCAAGAGUUACAAAUAUCUAUAGAUACUAAUCAUGCGUUCAAGCAGCUGGGAAUUGGGGUCUAGUUAGCCAGAAGGUUAACGUUACCCACACAAAAGUAAAUAGUCAAGUAUCGU